rnacentral:lncRNA from 1 species
ACACUCCAAGACCUUCUUCGCCAAAGCUUCCUACUCCAAGAGCAGCUACCCUAAGAGCAGACCCACCAAGAUUGGAUGCUCCAAGAUCCACCACACCUAAACCUCCUUCUCCAAGAGCAGACGCACCAAGAUUGGAUGCUCCAAGACCCACCACACCUAAACCUCCUUCUCCAAGAGCAGACGCUCCAAGAUUGGAUGCUCCAAGACCCACCACGCCUAAGCCCCCUUCUCCAAGAGCAGACGGACCAAGAUUGGAUGCUCCAAGACCCACCACUCCUAAGCCUCCUUCUCCAAGAGCAGACGCAUCAAGACUGGAUGCCCCACGUCCCACUACGCCCAAGCCACAUUCUCCAAGAGCAGACCCAUCAAGAUU